AAACUUGACAUGUUGGUACUGC
rnacentral:miRNA from 1 species